UGGGGAAUAUUGGACAAUGGGCGGAAGCCUGAUCCAGCCAUGCCGCGUGUGUGAAGAAGGCCUUUUGGUUGUAAAGCACUUUAAGCGAGGAGGAGGCUACUUGGAUUAAUACUCUAGGAUAGUGGACGUUACUCGCAGAAUAAGCACCGGCUAACUCUGUGCCAGCAGCCGCGGUAAUACAGAGGGUGCGAGCGUUAAUCGGAUUUACUGGGCGUAAAGCGUGCGUAGGCGGCUUCUUAAGUCGGAUGUGAAAUCCCUGAGCUUAACUUAGGAAUUGCAUUCGAUACUGGGAAGCUAGGAUAUGGGAGAGGAUGGUAGAAUUCCAGGUGUAGCGGUGAAAUGCGUAGAGAUCUGGAGGAAUACCGAUGGCGAAGGCAGCCAUCUGGCCUAAUACUGACGCUGAGGUACGAAAGCAUGGGGAGCAAACAGG
rnacentral:rRNA from 1 species